AUUCAACUUGGAGAUUGUAGAUAAGAAUGUCCCAUUUUUCAGAUAUAUGUGAUCGAUGCCAACUUUAACCUCGAUAAGCUACAAUUUUUGAGCAGACAACAAUAUUAUGGCUAGGAAAAGCCUAGAGUAUAUCUCGAUAUGAAUAUGAAGAGUCUGAUCAAGGUGGAGAAGUAGAGAAGACCUAAAAUUUUAUUUAGCAAGUGUUUUGAUGCAUCCAGAUGGCAGUUUCUUAGCGAUGGCGAUGACAGGGACGGGGAAGAGAAUAGGGAGAGGCUGGAGCAUCUAUUGAACAGCACCAUGGG
rnacentral:lncRNA from 1 species